CAUUGUCUUCCGACCGGAGCGGCCUGAGAGGGAACCGGCCCCAUUGAACUGAAUCGGUCAGUCCUACGAGGCAGCAGUGGGAAUUGCCCAAUUGGGCCAGCUGAUGCAGGACGCCGCGUGCGGAUGAGCUCGGUUGUAACCGCUUGAUCGAGCAGCAUCGGGGUGGAGUGUACUUCGAUAGCACCGCUACUACGUGCCAGCAGCGCGGUAUACGUAGGGUGCAAGCGUAUCCGAAUAUUGGGCGUAAAGGGCUCGUAGGCGGUCGUCGCGUCCGGUGUGAAAGCCCAUCGCUUAACGGUGGGUCUGCGCCGGGUACGGGCGGGCUGGAGUGCGGUAGGGAGACUGGAAUUCCCGGUGUAACGGUGGAAUGUGUAGAUAUCGGGAAGAACACCAAUGGCGAAGGCAGGUCUCUGGGCCGUCACUGACGCUGAGGAGCGAAAGCGUGGGGAGCGAACAGGAUUAGAUACCCUGGUAGUCCACGCCGUAAACGGUGGAUGCUGGAUGUGGGGCCCGUUCCACGGGUUCCGUGUCGGAGCUAACGCGUUAAGCAUCCCGCCUGGGGAGUACGGCCGCAAGGCUAAAACUCAAAGAAAUUGACGGGGGCCCGCACAAGCGGCGGAGCAUGCGGAUUAAUUCGAUGCAACGCGAAGAACCUUACCUGGGCUUGACAUGUUCCCGACAGCCGUAGAGAUAUGGCCUCCCUUCGGGGCGGGUUCACAGGUGGUGCAUGGUCGUCGUCAGCUCGUGUCGUGAGAUGUUGGGUUAAGUCCCGCAACGAGCGCAACCCUCGCCCUGUGUUGCCAGCACGUCAUGGUGGGAACUCACGGGGGACCGCCGGGGUCAACUCGGAGGAAGGUGGGGAUGACGUCAGAUCAUCAUGCCCCUUACGUCCAGGGCUUCACGCAUGCUACAAUGGCCGGUACAGCGGGAUGCGACAUGGCGACAUGGAGCGGAUCCCUGAAAACCGGUCUCAGUUCGGAUUGGAGUCUGCAACCCGACUCCAUGAAGGCGGAGUCGCUAGUAAUCGCGGAUCAGCAACGCCGCGGUGAAUGCGUUCCCGGGCCUUGUACACACCGCCCGUCAAGUCAUGAAAGUGGGCAGCACCCGAAGCCGGUGGCCUAACCCCUUGCGGGAUGGAGCCGUCUAAGGUGAGGCUCGUGAUUGGGACUAAGUCGUAACAAGAGCAGCCAGCGG
rnacentral:rRNA from 1 species